UACGUAGGGUGCGAGCGUUGUCCGGGAUUAUUGGGCGUAAAGAGCUUGUAGGCGGUUUGUCGCGUCUGCUGUGAAAAUCCGAGGCUCAACCUCGGACUUGCAGUGGGUACGGGCAGACUAGAGUGUGGUAGGGGAGACUGGAAUUCCUGGUGUAGCGGUGAAAUGCGCAGAUAUCAGGAGGAACACCGAUGGCGAAGGCAGGUCUCUGGGCCUUACCUGACGCUGAGGCGCGAAAGCUAGGGGAGCGAACAGG
rnacentral:rRNA from 1 species